AUGUCAAAACAACAGAUACUCUUAUGGUAAUGAAGGUUUCACAUAAUCACGGGAGCAAAGGAAGCUCAACUCCAGAUCGAUGGAGUAAAGAAGACAGAUCACAAAACUGAUCGUUUAAUUGUAAAAGCAAUGGGCAGAUUCAGAAUUAAAACAACAACAACAACAAAACGUUUAAGGGAUGAAAGGAGAGGGUCCAAGUCACAGAUGAGAUAAGGGCUAGUAAAAACUGCAAGGUCACUGGGACCUAUCGGGUCGCGGAGGUGGAGGUGGGGGUUGUGUUGGGGGGAGCGGCAGAGUCGGCGAAGCACCGAGAGUGAGAAAACGACGUUCCACGCCCGGGAGUCCUUGGUUUGGGACAGCGGAGCUGCCGUGAAAGUCAGGACGCCGGCGAUUGCAUUUCAAAAAGAAAAUUCCUGAUUGAUCACAAGUUGAUGCCUCAAAAGGAGGAGUAUGCUGAAGAAGAUAGAGAAGUUCAUAUUAUUUCACUGAAAAGUGCUUGAAGGAGCUGCUGAAAUUAAAGACAAAUUAAGCAUUUCAUUUACAAAAAAGUAGAGGUAUGAGUUCAGACAUUUUCUACCAAUCAAGAUAUGUGAUCCAAAACAGUUUGGAAAUCAUUGAACUGGUAAAAAGGACAGAGAUGGCUUUCUAGAGAAGUUAACGUUUGUUGGAUAUCUAUUGUACUCUGCUUGGUCCUGGCAAUGAAAAGAUGAAUGACGUGGCCUCCAGUCCAGAGCCGUCCUCUGUCUAAUGGGGAAAACAGAGUGUGACCAUAUGAAGCAGUGGAAUCAUGUGACUAGGCAAUACUCCUUGACCACCAACUCUGUUUCAGGCACCGAGAUGGAUGCCAGGAGUAUACAGUCAAACCAGAUGCUGUUUCUGCCCUCAGGGGACUUAAAGUCACAUUGAAGACACAGUGUCGUAAAGCAGCGCAUCCAAGUGUGAGAACUGCUGUGACCAAGGUUGAAACAAGGUGCAUGUUGCAGUGUUGAUCAAAGAAGAGACUGAUUAUCUUUGCCUGAAAGAGGAAAGUGGACCAUCUUAGAAAAGGCUUCCUAGAAGAAAUGGUGAUAGAUCUAGUUCUUAAAGAAUCAGUAAGGCUUUGCCAAGAAGAUGGUAGAAGGAAAAACAUUCUAGAGAGAAGUAUUUUCUAGCCGCUCAUAAACUAUUUUUUCUUCACGUUCUUAUUUGCCACUGCUUCACAAGUUCUUGCUUAGCUAGACAAAUUCUAUUAGAUCAAGAUUUACAAAAUGUCUCUCUUCACCAUAUCUACAGUCUGAUUUGGCUUUAGAAAGGGCACAGAUUUAGAACUACAUUGUACACCAACACUGGGCAAUUCAAACGUUCAUACAAGUUGGAGGCACCAGAUUCUUUAUUUCUGUGUCCUAGAAAGUGUGGCCUCAUAGGUAGUUGUGAGUGGUGACUUGAGUUUAUCGCUUCGCUGGUCCUGUAUGCUUAUCAUUGCCUUUCACCCUGCCCUUCAUCUAAGUAGAUCUUUCCCCUGACCAUACCCAUGGCGACCAAGCUUACAGACAGAAUAUUAAGAUCCUCAGCCCUAGGGGCUUGUCACAACUGACUAGACAUAAUCCAGAUCACAACAACCCAUAGCUCAGUUGAGCCCAUCAGACUCUUUUUCUGAGAUUCUGAUGAUAAGUUGCUAUGCUUUGAGCACUUGGUAGUAAAGGUCUUGGGAUAAGAGAUCUAAACUUAGCUCUGCUAGUUGGCAGAGAUAAACUACCCAUCAGUACCAAAAUGCCAGUGGUCUAAGACGGAUACCUAUGGCCAGGUAGAGGCAGCAAAGGUGGCAUGGGAAUUCCUACCCAGGACUCACUCGGCCAGGGGCCAGAUUGCUCUACCAAAAAGUAGGAGAUGCCUUGAAUAGUUAUGUGCAUUCCCACUACAAAGUCAUUCACCUGGGGGGCUGAGAAAGAUUUUCCAGUGGACCAGGUGGAGAGGGAGUUUAUUUGAAGUCGUCGUGGGAAUUUCACACAGUCCAACUGCGGCUAGCACCACUAGGCUUCCUAACUGCUGGGAGGAAACCUUCAGACAAGCUACUCUGUCUCCUUUUUCCUUCCGGUAGCACCAUUUCUCUUUGCUGCAUUUUUAUUUUCUUUUUUUCUGAUUUUUUGGGGUAAUUAGGUUUGCUUUAAAUUUUUUUGUUUUUCAAUAAUGGAAGUAUUGGGGAUUGAACCCAGGACCUUGUGCAUGCUAGGCAAGUACUCUACCGCUGAGCUAUAACUGCUUCUCUCUCUCUUUAUCUUUAUUCUCCUUAAUGCAGCCAGUCUCCUUUCAUGAGGCUCUUAGUUUCUGUUUCUGAGUAACUUCAGUUGUUUUUUUUAUUGUAUUAUUUAAUUAUUUCAUUGUGGUGGGGGGAGGUAAUCAGGUUUAUUUAUUUUUAGAGGAGGUGCUGGGGAUUGAACCCAGGGCCUCAUGCAUGCUAAGCAUGCGCUCUGCCACAGAGCUAUACCCUCCCCACCGAGUAAGAUCAGUUUAACAUGAGCCCCUCCCUUGCUCCAGAGCCAUUUUGGCAUGGAUCUGAUAUUCCAGCUCCAGUAGCCACUGCUGCUUACUGAGUCAAACUCUUCUGUCGCUUAGUUUGAACACCUGUGUCCAAGGGUAUACCCCUCAGAUAGUUGACAUGUUCGGUACCGAUGGGUAGAGUUUUUCUCUGCCAGCUAGCAGUCUGAGAGUUUUCAUAUCUUACUCAGGACCCUUUACUACCAAGUGGUCAAAGCAUAACAUCUUAACCUCAGCUGGCAGGAUAGUCUAGAUAGUGUAAGAUUUAAAAGGCGUGGCUGGAGUGUUUGCAAGAAUAGGCAAGUUGGCGAAAGUCCUGCUGCUGGCACAGGGAAAACAAAGGCCAGGUUCUGCCAAGGUGUCGUCAUUGUGGGGCAUGUCGGCAGCAUGUUCCAUCCAAGCUGCAACUAGUGUUGUAUCCUCUCGAGAGGAUUAGGCAAGCUUGUUCUGGUGGAGAGAAAGCAAGCAGGGCAGUCCAGGUGCGGUGGUCGAGAAAGGGCGCGAGGCGCGAGGUUAAAUAGAAUCUGAUACCGACGACAUUCAAGAAAAAAGAAAGAGGCCGUCAGCCAGGGCAUGCUUGGAGUGGGUGGAUAUUUCAGUCGACAGCAUUUGCUGAAAGAGGCCUGUGGUUUCAGAGCUGCUCAGAGCCACUGAACAGCAUUCCUGCCUCUGGACUGUAGAGCCUUCUGUAGCCAAAGGGAGUCUAGGACCAGUCCGGGGGCUUCAGGGCCAUUGCCCAAGAGGGAUGAGUGUGCCGUCUUCUGCACAGACUUGGAUUUUGAUAAGUCCAUGAUCUCCACGGGGGCUCUGAUGGGUCACACCCCAGUGGUGCCAUGCCAGCCUGGCACCUCGGAGAAUAUUUCAUUCUACUGAAUAUCAAGGUCACGCUCUAUCACAUAACCUUCGUUUCGUUUCUUUAUAGUACUUACCGCCAUCUGGAAAUCUUAUUUGAUUACUUGCUUACCUUCUAUCUCCCCGCAGUAAGAUGUAAAUUCCUUUAGAACAGAAACAUUAAUCUUUUCUUUUUCCAUUGUUGUGUUCUUAACACCUAGAACAAUGUUUGGCUGUUAGUAGGUUCUCAGCCAAUAUUUAUUGAAUAAAUAAAUAAGUCCAUGAACUUGAUGACAUGGUCAAGGGCCAAGGGCCUGGACAACAUUCCAAGUCCUGGUGAGUCCCCUGACAGACCUUGACUGAAAUGAAAUGUCUGCAUUUUUAAAUAUACUUAGAAAACCUGACUGGGUGUUAACAACUGAACUGAGCUCCCGCGGCCCAUCCACACCCAAAUUCUGUUGUCAACUGAUUUAGCAAAUUUUCUAAGAGGAAAAAAAAUGUGACCAUGCUCUUCUGGUAAGAAGAAUAUGUAUCUACUUGUUGCCAUUAAACAAGCCUUGAGCCACAGAUGUUUUCUCCUUUUCAGCCUGCUUCUGAGAUGACUCUCCAGCCUCCUCCCCUAGUCAGCCCCCAACUUUGCCUCUUUCUUCCCCAUAAACAAACGUCUCAGUUCUCACACGUAAUCAAACCUCUCAGGGGAGUGUCAAUGAGGUAUUUUCAGGAAACAACUGAAAUUUCUCCAUGUUCUUUGCUUUCUGAACAGCAGCCACGUGGCUCAGUAAGUGUACAGCACGUGUUUACUUUAACAAAGAGCCUCCCGCUGAGUCAGCCUCCCUUCCUCCCGACUUCCUUUUCCAUUCUUAAAAGAUUGUUUGAAUGAGUCCAAACUUGGCCCGGCUCUUCUCGACAUGUAGUGGGGCAACAGUUAUUAGCGCAAACACUGUCACUCUGGAAAUAUGCAUUUCUUUAGAGAGUGUAAUCAAAAUGAAAACAGCAUUCUAUUAACAAAAGCAAGCCUGGAGUUUCUAAGAGGAUAUGGUGACUUUACACACAAUCUCUUUCUUUCAAAGCCACAAGUUAGAGUGAAUUUUAUUAAGGGGUGGAAUGAAAUAAUCAGUGCUAAAAUUCCAGUAAUGAAAUUUUCAUUAGCGGCUAAGUCGAUCAACAGAUAUUUACUGAACACCUUUUACAUAAAAUGAUUGGAGUUGGGUAAUCAAGGAACAUACACGUGUUCCAGACUGGGAAGCUCUAUUUGGGAAGAUGGGCUGUUACCUCACAGGCGUCCCAAACUUAACACGAUCAGAACUGAACUGCUCACGUCCCUACUAGGGCCUUUCUUAGUGUUCCUUAUUUUAGUAAGUGGUUCACAAUCUAGUGGAAGAAAUAGAUAAAAGUCAACAUGAAACAGUACUGGUGCAUUAAUGGGGUUAGUUAGGUCCGAGGUAUUGUGUAUGUUUGAGGAGGGGCAUUUAAUGCAGCUAAGCGCAAUGGGACAUUGAAAUCAAUAUUCUUCAUUACCAGAGAAGAAUUUCUUGCUAUCAUUUAAAAAGAGAUUCAAGCAUAUAUGCUGGGUAACUCUUUUCAAAUGCAUUUUUUCCUUCUCUUCAGAUGCUGUCUGUCUUAUGGGCUGAUAGAGUUAUACCCUCAAUGACGUGGGUCAUUCUUUUUGAUGUUUCUGCCUGGGGACUGAGUGCCUUUCUGACUCAUGUAUUUUCCUUACAAAACAGAAUUGAACUGCUAUCCAAAAGGGCCAGCUGCUUUGAAUUUUUCACAAAGAUUAAAAAGUUCCCUCUUCUUCAGCUCUGGCGAUGUCAGUAAUGACUAUUGUGGUGACCGUUUUGAGGCUCAUAUCAGUUUAAUUGCUUUGAUAAACUAACUUCACUUUGCAGUCCCCUUCAAACUGAAUAAUUAAUGAUAGGACUGUUAAAACUGAGGACCCAGUUUUAGAAUUUAAUGGGCUUUAUAAUUUGUCCUCUGUUUGAAAAGACUUUAGCUCUGUAAUAUUGGAAGAAUAUAUUCAGAAUUUCAAUAUGGAGAAUUAUUUACAAGCCAACUAAUUGUAAAACAUAUAAUGAUAAUGUAGUCCAGGUCUAAUUUUCCAGUGUAUUGGUGUGUAUCAUAUAUAAAUCCUAUUCGAUAUGAGGUCUCUGUAGUUCAGGGCAAAAUAUUUUCCCAUCAGACAGAUGAGAAGCUUCCUAAAGCAGUUAGGCAAAAAUGAUUACUAGUCUCUUGACAAAAUUAGUUUUUAUUUUUAUGGAUCUAUUCAUGCAUACAGAUGAAAUUUAAAAAAAAAUCCUUAAUGAAUUGCUAACGAAAUACUAUCGUGCAGUACUCAGUACUCAGUAGUACUCAGUAGUACUGGGCUUGCGACAAGCAAGAUCUCCUGCCCCCGAAGUGUCAACCCAUCCCCUCCCAUUUUCAGUAUUUUAUCUUUAUUCUUAUGAAACUGAAAAGCUUUUUGGUCUUCAAAGCCUCGAUACAUAGGAAGAUUUUGACAGGCAAAAAAUAGGAUUAAAUGGGUUCCUAAUUAUAGAAAUAUAAAUGUGCAAAAAUUUAGAGGCAUGAAGUGGCAUGUUUGGGAAAAAUGAUUUUAUCAGAUAAUACCUUAAAAGUAAUUCAAUGACUGGUAUUUAUUAUAUGCUUAUUAUAUACCAGGCGUCCUGGGAAUUACUGCAUGUAGAUGACCACGUUUAAUCUUCACAGAAAUCCACUUCUAAAGAGGGCUACCUUUCAAAGUGAAGAAAAUUAAUCCUAGAAAUGUGGAGGUCAACAAAAGAGUCAACAAACCCUUUGGACUUUGCCUUCAAAAUAUUUCCAGAAUUGGACCCCUUUUACCACAUUCAUCCCUGUUGUCUAAACCAUCGUCAUUUCUGACUGGACCAUCACAGUAACCUUCAAACUGGUCUCCCUGUUUCUAUUUUUUGCUCUCCUACAAUGCUUCACAUUGCAUUCAGAAAAAUAAUUUUAAAAUUGAUGUAAAACCAGGUCACUUCCCUGCUCAAAACUCUCCAAAGAUUUUCCACCCAAAAUAAAAUCUAAACUCUUUACCAUAGCCUACAAGGCACUACGUGGUUCCAGGCUUUAGAGAUGCCCACGUAUUACAAAAACACACAAAAAUAGAUUUAUUUGAGGACACGGGUAACUUUGUCACGCAGGAGCCAUUUCUCGGUGCAUUUCUGGCACAGAACAGCCCCAUUCCAAACAACCACUUUUAUGACUAACACUGUUCAGGCUGCAGGGAAAUUGUUUGCCCAUGUCUUUAAAAUGCUGUAAAUAUUUGUGGAUUGUGCUGUUACCAACGUCUGAGGGUGACAUGACUUCCAAAGGCAGUGGAAGACCUUAGAGAAAAGGCAAAUUAAUUAACUUCUCAAAUCCUUUCAGAUAGCAUGAAUACCGAAAAUUCUUGUAUAAUGAAGUACUAUUUGCCAGUAGCACCUUGCAUCUUUUUCUGUUCUGAUUCAUGGUUCAGAAAAAUUGUUGCGGAGCAAUCAUUGCAGGUGGUACAAUGUUAAACAACUUAUAUUUACUCUCAAAUUUGUAUGUAAGUAGAUCUAACAUAACAUGUGAAGAUUUAUACCAGUUCUUUACAUUGGCAAUUAGGCAUAAAAUGUAAAGUUGCAAAUAAUUUUCUUUCUUUGAUAAAAAGUUGGUAGGAUUUAAUUAAAAUUUUGAAAAAUACA